rnacentral:rRNA from 1 species
UGAGAGUUUGAUCCUGGCUCAGAGUGAACGCUAGCGGCGUGGUUAAGACAUGCAAGUCGAACGAUGAAGCCCAGCUUGCUGGGAAGAUUAGUGGCAUACGGGUGCGUAACACGUGAGCAACCUGCCUUGAAGUGGGGGAUAGCCCGGGGAAACCCGGAUUAAUACCGCAUGUGGUCUUUCUUCUCAUGAAGAAAUGACUAAAGUUUGUAAUGACGUUUCAAGAGGGGCUCGCGGCCUAUCAGCUUGUUGGUGAGGUAAUAGCUCACCAAGGCUAAGACGGGUAGCUGGUCUGAGAGGAUGAUCAGCCACACUGGAACUGAGAUACGGUCCAGACACCUACGGGUGGCAGCAGUUUCGAAUCAUUCACAAUGGGGGAAACCCUGAUGGUGCAACGCCGCGUGGAGGAUGACGGCCUUCGGGUUGUAAACUCCUGUCACCAGGGAACAAACGGCAGGUUCAUAGCCUGUCCUGAGUUAACCUGGAGAGGAAGAGGUGGCUAACUCCGUGCCAGCAGCCGCGGUAAUACGGAGACCUCGAGCGUUACUCGGAUUCACUGGGCGUAAAGAGUAUGUAGGCGGUUUGGUAUGUCAGGUGUGAAAUCCCGGAGCUCAACUCCGGAACUGCGCCUGAAACUACCAAACUUGAGGCCUGGAGAGGAGAGUGGAAUUCCUGGUGUAGCGGUGAAAUGCGUAGAUAUCAGGAGGAACACCAAUGGCGAAGGCAGCUCUCUGGACAGGUUCUGACGCUGAGAUACGAAAGCG